rnacentral:rRNA from 1 species
UGUUUUGGCUGCACCCUCUUGAAUUUGUUAGACCCAGAAACUAAGCAGGGUCAGGCCUGGCCAGUACUUUGAUAGGAGACAGCUUGUUAGUGCCAAAGGCCAGAACUA